GAUGAACGCUGGCGGCGUGCCUAAUACAUGCAAGUCGAGCGAACAGACGAGGAGCUUGCUCCUUCGACGUUAGCGGCGGACGGGUGAGUAACACGUAGGUAACCUACCUAUAAGACUGGGAUAACUUCGGGAAACCGGAGCUAAUACCGGAUAAUAUUUCGAACCGCAUGGUUCGAUAGUGAAAGAUGGCUUUGCUAUCACUUAUAGAUGGACCUGCGCCGUAUUAGCUAGUUGGUAAGGUAACGGCUUACCAAGGCAACGAUCCGUAGCCGACCUGAGAGGGUGGCCGGCCACACUGGAACUGAGGCACGGUCCAGCCUCCUACGGGAGGCAGCAGUAGGGACUCUUCCGCAAUGGGCGAAAGCCUGACGGAGCAACGCCGCGUGAGUGAUGCAGGUCUUCGGAUCGUAAAACUCUGUUAUUAGGGAAGAACAAACGUGUAAGUAACUGUGCACGUCUUGACGGUACCUAAUCAGAAAGCCACGGCUAACUACGUG
rnacentral:rRNA from 1 species